rnacentral:rRNA from 1 species
UGAGGAAUAUUGGACAAUGGGCGAAAGCCUGAUCCAGCAAUACCGCGUGAGUGAAGAAGGCCUUAGGGUUGUAAAGCUCUUUCAGCAGGGAAAAUAAUGAUGGUACCUGCAGAAGAAGUCCCGGCUAACUCCGUGCCAGCAGCCGCGGUAAUACGGAGGGGACUAGCGUUGUUCGGAUUUACUGGGCGUAAAGGGUGCGUAGGCGGUUUAGUAAGUUAGAAGUGAAAGCCCAGGGCUUAACCCUGGAACUGCUUCUAAAACUAUUAGACUAGAGUGCGGGAGAGGAUAGUGGAAUUCCUAGUGUAGAGGUGAAAUUCUUAGAUAUUAGGAGGAACACCGGUGGCGAAAGCGACUAUCUGGAACGUUACUGACGCUGAGGCACGAAAGCGUGGGGAGCAAACAGG